UACGUAGGGGGCAAGCGUUGUCCGGAAUCAUUGGGCGUAAAGCGCGUGUAGGCGGCCCGGUAAGUCCGCUGUGAAAGUCGGGGGCUCAACCCUCGAAUGCCGGUGGAUACUGUCGGGCUAGAGUGCGGGAGAGGCGAGUGGAAUUCCUGGUGUAGCGGUGAAAUGCGCAGAUAUCAGGAGGAACACCAGUGGCGAAGGCGACUAUCUGGGCUGCAACUGACGCUGAGGCGCGAAGGCUAGGGUAGCAAACAGG
rnacentral:rRNA from 1 species